CAGCCGCCGCGGUAAUACGAAGGGUGCAAGCGUUACUCGGAAUUACUGGGCGUAAAGCGUGCGUAGGUGGUGGUUUAAGUCCGUUGUGAAAGCCCUGGGCUCAACCUGGGAAUUGCAGUGGAUACUGGGUCACUAGAGUGUGGUAGAGGAUAGUGGAAUUUCCGGUGUAGCAGUGAAAUGCGUAGAGAUCGGAAGGAACAUCUGUGGCGAAGGCGACUAUCUGGGCCAACACUGACACUGAGGCACGAAAGCGUGGGGAGCAAACAGGAUUAGAUACCCCUGUAGUCCCUGUCUCUUAUCC
rnacentral:rRNA from 1 species